rnacentral:rRNA from 1 species
UACGUAGGGGGCGAGCGUUGUCCGGAUUUAUUGGGCGUAAAGAGCUCGUAGGCGGCUUGGCAAGUCGGGUGUGAAACCUCCAGGCUCAACCUGGAGACGCCACUCGAUACUGCUAUGGCUAGAGUCCGGUAGGGGACCACGGAAUUCCUGGUGUAGCGGUGAAAUGCGCAGAUAUCAGGAGGAACACCGGUGGCGAAGGCGGAUCGUCUGGGCCGAUUACUGACGCUGAGGAGCGAAAGCGUGGGGAGCGAACAGG